AGAGUUUGAUCCUGGCUCAGAUUGAACGCUGGNCGGCAGGCCUAACACAUGCAAGUCCAGCGGAUGACGGGAGCUUGCUNCCUGAUUCAGCGGCGGACGGGUGAGUAAUGCCUAGGAAUCUGCCUGGUAGUGGGGGACAACGUUUCGAAAGGAACGCUAAUACCGCAUACGUCCUACGGGAGAAAGCAGGGGACCUUCGGGCCUUGCGCUAUCAGAUGAGCCUAGGUCGGAUUAGCUAGUUGGUGAGGUAAUGGCUCACCAAGGCGACGAUCCGUAACUGGUCUGAGAGGAUGAUCAGUCACACUGGAACUGAGACACGGUCCAGACUCCUACGGGAGGCAGCAGUGGGGAAUAUUGGACAAUGGGCGAAAGCCUGAUCCAGCCAUGCCGCGUGUGUGAAGAAGGUCUUCGGAUUGUAAAGCACUUUAAGUUGGGAGGAAGGGCAUUAACCUAAUACGUUAGUGUUUUGACGUUACCGACAGAAUAAGCACCGGCUAACUCUGUGCCAGCAGCCGCGGUAAUAC
rnacentral:rRNA from 1 species